CCCUUAGAUGUUCAGGGCAGCACGCGCGCUACAAUGGUCUUCGCAAACGGAUGCAUUCUCGAAGGAGAAUGCCAAUCUUGGAAUCUAUGCCUUGGUCGGGACAGUUGCUUGCAAUUUUUCGACUCGAACCAGGAAUUCCUUGUAAUCGUGAUUCAUCACAUCACGAUGAAUACGUCCCUGCCCUUUGUACACACCGCCCGUCGCUCCUACCGAUCGAAGAGUUAGGUGAAUUGUUUUGAUCGAUAAGAUUUGACUAUGGUCAACUCUCGUUGUGAAAUUCUGUGAAUCUGACUGUUUAGAGGAAGGAAAAGUCGUAACA
rnacentral:rRNA from 1 species